GACGAACGCUGGCGGCGUGCUUAACACAUGCAAGUCGAACGGAAAGGCUCCAGCUUGCUGGCGUACUCGAGUGGCGAACGGGUGAGUAACACGUGGGUAAUCUGCCCUGCACUCUGGGAUAAGCCUGGGAAACUGGGUCUAAUACUGGAUAUGACCUUUCUCCUUAUGGGGUUUGGUGGAAAGUUUUUCGGUGUAGGAUGAGCCCGCGGCCUAUCAGCUUGUUGGUGGGGUGAUGGCCUACCAAGGCGACGACGGGUAGCCGGCCUGAGAGGGUGAUCGGCCACAUUGGGACUGAGAUACGGCCCAGACUCCUACGGGAGGCAGCAGUGGGGAAUAUUGCACAAUGGGAGGAAGCCUGAUGCAGCGACGCCGCGUGAGGGAUGACGGCCUUCGGGUUGUAAACCUCUUUCAGCAGGGACGAAGCGUAAGUGACGGUACCAGCAGAAGAAGCACCGGCUAACUAUGUG
rnacentral:rRNA from 1 species